CCUACGGGUGGCUGCAGUGGGGAAUAUUGGACAAUGGGGGGAACCCUGAUCCAGCCAUGCCGCGUGUGUGAAGAAGGCCCUCGGGUUGUAAAGCACUUUCAGUGAGGAAGAACGCCUGGUGGUUAAUACCCAUCAGGAAAGACAUCACUCACAGAAGAAGCACCGGCUAACUCCGUGCCAGCAGCCGCGGUAAUACGGAGGGUGCGAGCGUUAAUCGGAAUUACUGGGCGUAAAGCGCGCGUAGGUGGCUUGAUAAGCCGGUUGUGAAAGCCCCGGGCUCAACCUGGGAACGGCGUCCGGAACUGGCGAGCUAGAGUGCAGGAGAGGAAAGUAGGAAUCCCGGUGAAGCGGGGAAAGGCGUAGAGAUCGGGAGGAAUACCAGUGGCGAAGGCGGCCUUCUUGACUGACACUGACACUGAGGUGCGAAAGCGUGGGUAGCAAACAGGAUUAGAUACCCUGGUAGUC
rnacentral:rRNA from 1 species